rnacentral:rRNA from 1 species
AGAGUUUGAUCCUGGCUCAGGAUGAACGCUAGCGGCAGGCUUAACACAUGCAAGUCGAGGGGCAGCAUAAUGGAUAGCAAUAUCUAUGGUGGCGACCGGCGCACGGGUGCGUAACGCGUAUGCAACCUACCUUUAACAGGGGGAUAACACUGAGAAAUUGGUACUAAUACCCCAUAAUAUCAUAGAAGGCAUCUUUUAUGGUUGAAAAUUCCGAUGGUUAGAGAUGGGCAUGCGUUGUAUUAGCUAGUUGGUGGGGUAACGGCUCACCAAGGCGACGAUACAUAGGGGGACUGAGAGGUUAACCCCCCACACUGGUACUGAGACACGGACCAGACUCCUACGGGAGGCAGCAGUGAGGAAUAUUGGUCAAUGGACGGAAGUCUGAACCAGCCAUGCCGCGUGCAGGAAGACGGCUCUAUGAGUUGUAAACUGCUUUUGUACGAGGGUAAACGCAGAUACGUGUAUCUGUCUGAAAGUAUCGUACGAAUAAGGAUCGGCUAACUCCGUGCCAGCAGCCGCGGUAAUACGGAGGAUUCAAGCGUUAUCCGGAUUUAUUGGGUUUAAAGGGUGCGUAGGCGGUUUGAUAAGUUAGAGGUGAAAUUUCGGGGCUCAACCCUGAACGUGCCUCUAAUACUGUUGAGCUAGAGAGUAGUUGCGGUAGGCGGAAUGUAUGGUGUAGCGGUGAAAUGCUUAGAGAUCAUACAGAACACCGAUUGCGAAGGCAGCUUACCAAACUAUAUCUGACGUUGAGGCACGAAAGCGUGGGGAGCAAACAGGAUUAGAUACCCUGGUAGUCCACGCAGUAAACGAUGAUAACUCGUUGUCGGCGAUACACAGUCGGUGACUAAGCGAAAGCGAUAAGUUAUCCACCUGGGGAGUACGUUCGCAAGAAUGAAACUCAAAGGAAUUGACGGGGGCCCGCACAAGCGGAGGAACAUGUG